rnacentral:sRNA from 12 species
UCAAGGUACAGACGUAGGUACUGUUGUACAGUCAUAAGCGAUCGAAUUGAUUAAGCGUAUUGUAAAUACGUCGCCUGGCUAGGGUAAACCUUCUAAUUAUAGAAGGUUUACUUUUUUUAUG